rnacentral:rRNA from 1 species
UAAGGAAUAUUGGACAAUGGUCGCAAGACUGAUCCAGCCAUGCCGCGUGCAGGAAGACGGCCCUAUGGGUUGUAAACUGCUUUUGUACCAGAGAAAACCUAUCUACGUGUAGAUAGCUGAUAGUAUGGUAAGAAUAAGCAUCGGCUAACUUCGUGCCAGCAGCCGCGGUAAGACGAAGGAUGCAAGCGUUAUCCGGAUUCAUUGGGUUUAAAGGGUGCGUAGGCGGGCUUGUAAGUCAGUGGUGAAAUCUCUCAGCUUAACUGAGAAACUGCCAUUGAUACUGCAGGCCUAGAGUAUAGAUGACGUUGGCGGAAUAUGACAUGUAGUGGCGAAAUACUUAGAUAUGUCAUAGAACACCGAUUGCGAAGGCAGCUAACGAAACUAUAACUGACGCUGAGGCACGAAAGUGCGGGGAUCAAACA